GCCAGGUGUGGUGGUGCAUGCCUAUAAUCCCAGCAAUUUGGGAGGUUGAGACAGGAGAAUCACAAAUUCAAGGCCAACUCCAGCAACUUAGCAAGGUCCUCAGCAAUUUAGUGAGACUCUGUCUCAA
rnacentral:sRNA from 1 species